rnacentral:rRNA from 1 species
UUGAAAGGGAAACGAUUGAAGUCAGUCGUACCAGCGGGAAAUCAACCUUUCGAGUGGGGGUUUUGGAGUUUUGAAGAGUGUCAAAACCUUUGAGAUUUCAAAAUUUUCGCUCCUUUGGUGUACUUUCUCGUGGGUAGGUUAACAUCGAUUUCGAUCACCAUAAAAGGAUUGGAGGAAUGUAGCUUCGAUCUUGUAUUGAAGUGUUAUAGCCUUUGGUAAAUGUGAUGAUUGGGAUCGAGGAUUGCAACGAAUACCCUUUUGGGCUAUCCGCCUGAUCUCUGAUACGUGGCCUUGGCAUCGAAAGCUUGCUUAUGGUAUCAAGGUAUUACGGUCAAAAGGUUAGAACGGAUUACAUUCGUUAAGGAUGUUGACGUA